UACAGAGGUCUCAAGCGUUGUUCGGAAUCACUGGGCGUAAAGCGCACGUAGGCGGAUUGUUAAGUCAGGGGUGAAAUCCUGGAGCUCAACUCCAGAACUGCCUUUGAUACUGGCGAUCUUGAGUCCGGGAGAGGUGAGUGGAACUGCGAGUGUAGAGGUGAAAUUCGUAGAUAUUCGCAAGAACACCAGUGGCGAAGGCGACUCACUGGCCCGGUACUGACGCUGAGG
rnacentral:rRNA from 1 species